GAUGAACGCUGGCGGCGUGCUUAACACAUGCAAGUCGAACGAAGCAUAAGAGUUGCUUGCAACACUUAUGACUUAGUGGCGGACGGGUGAGUAACGCGUGGGUAACCUACCCUGUACAGGGGGAUAACAGUUAGAAAUGACUGCUAAUACCGCAUAAGCACACACUGUCACAUGGCAGAGGGUGAAAAGAUUUAUCGGUACAGGAUGGGCCCGCGUCUGAUUAGCUAGUUGGCAAGGUAAAGGCUUACCAAGGCGACGAUCAGUAGCCGGCUUGAGAGAGUGAACGGCCACAUUGGAACUGAGACACGGUCCAAACUCCUACGGGAGGCAGCAGUGGGGAAUAUUGCACAAUGGGGGAAACCCUGAUGCAGCGACGCCGCGUGAAGGAUGAAGUAUUUCGGUAUGUAAACUUCUAUCAGCAGGGAAGAUAAAUGACGGUACCUGACUAAGAAGCCCCGGCUAACUACGUGCCAGCAGCCGCGGU
rnacentral:rRNA from 1 species